AGCAGAUGUUGUUGAGGCUACAGAAGACAAUGAAAUUCAAGAAGAUGAGGAUGAGGAUGAAUGGGAUGCGAAGAGUUGGGAUGAUGCUGUUGUUGAUCUUUCCUUAAAAAGUUCCUUCGCUGACGAGGAGCUUGAAUCAGAACCUGAGAAUGGCAUGAAAAAAGAUACAAAAAAUGGUGCAGGUGCCAAGCUAGCUGCCCCUGCUCAAAAAGGUUUACCUUCUCAGUCUAUAAAGUCACAAGAUAUUGAAAACAAAAAGAAGCAGGACGAGGUUGAGGUUGCCGCCAAGGGCAAAAGAAAAGAUGAUGCUGUUAAGAAAAAAGCUUCAGUCCCAGAUGCUACUCCUGUACCACAGGAAGAAAAUCUUCGCUCGCCCAUAUGUUGUAUUAUGGGUCAUGUUGAUACUGGUAAAACCAAG
rnacentral:misc_RNA from 1 species